rnacentral:rRNA from 1 species
GGGUCAGUAGGUUGGUCGUGCCACCGGUACGUACUGGUCUCACUGAUUCCUCCUUCCUGAAGAACCGUAAUGCCAUUAAUUUGGUGUUGCGGGGAAACAGGACUGUUACUUUGAAAAAAUUAGAGUGUUCAAAGCAAGCUAGCCCUUGAAUACAUUAGCAUGGAAUAAUGAAAUAGGACGAUCGAUCCUAUUUUGUUGGUUUCUAGGAUUGACGUA